CACUGAUCCUAAGACUGUGUGCUUGCCCCUGCAGAAGAGCUGUCGGCGACAGCUGCUUCAGUCUCUGGCAUCUCAGCCUCCCAGCCAAUUAACUCUGGGAGCUGCUGGCCAAGUAAAUCAAAGGGCAGGAAACAGCUAAAAUUAGAUGUGGAAGGGAGAUGAAACCAUAGCUCUUUUGAACUCAGAAGCAUCCUUUAAGCCAACAGCAUAAGGUUACGGAGCUGCAUAACUAUGCCCUUUGCUUUGUGCCUCCGUGGUCUCUGUGAGGACUAUAUUUCCUGCUCCACUGACGCUGGACCUGGUCACAUGACUUUAGUGAAAGAAAGGAGUUCCUGGUGUCCUGGUGGCCAGAUCUUCUAGUGUCUCCUUGGCAUAGCCACGGGCCUCCACGUUGAUGGACAGACAUGGAGCACAUGGGAUCAACUGUUCUGACACCUCUGGGAGAGGAAACUUGGAGAAGAAUCCCUCCCUUGUGCUCACUCCUCUCUGAGAAAAGAACAAAACGAAUCCUGUGUUUUUUGGAUCCUUUUCUCAAGUCAGUGCCAGUGAUGCAGGGCUGUACUGGAUCUGUGGUCACCUACAAGUUUUCAGAUGGAUCAACAUCUCCUCAGGCAAGCAGGAAGGGAAAGAGAAUGUGAAGGCCACUCCUCUUCUUUUAAAGGAUAUGACCUUGAAGUUAUAUUAAAGGAUAUAACCUUGAAGUUGACCUUGAAUUGGUUAUUUUGCCCAUUAGUUGAUACAGUUUCUUCAUAGUGUUGAUG
rnacentral:lncRNA from 13 species